rnacentral:rRNA from 1 species
GGAAAGAUGAAAAGAACUUUGAAAAGAGAGUUAAACAGUACGUGAAAUUGUUGAAAGGGAAACGAUUGAAGUCAGUCAUACCAACGGGAAAUCAACCUUUUGAGCUUGGUCUCGUGGGUUUUGAAGAGUUUCAAAGCCUUCGGAUUCGCGAGAUUGGGAUCUCUCGGUGUACUUUCUCGUACGGUUAGUCAACAUCGGUUUUGAAUGUCAUAAAAUGACUGGAGGAAUGUAGCUUCGAUCUCGUAUUGAAGUGUUAUAGCCUUUGGUAGAUGUGAUGUUUGAGACCGAGGAUUGCAACGGAUACCCUUCAGGGCUACUCGUCUGAUCUCUGAUACGUUGCCUUGAUGUUGAAAGCUUGCUUAUGAUGUUAGGGUAUUACGGUCAGAAGGUUAGAACGAAUUACAUUCGUUAAGGAUGUUGACGUAAUGACUUUAAACGACCCGUCUUGAAACACGGACCA